rnacentral:rRNA from 1 species
CCUGGCUCAGGAUGAACGCUGACAGAAUGCUUAACACAUGCAAGUCGAUGGGGAAGUGGUGCUUGCACCCUGGUAACCAUGGCGGACUGGUGAGUAACGCGUAAGGGACUUACCUGCCGGACUGGGAUAACAGGGGGAAACUCCUGACAAGACCGGAUAAUGUCAUGGCGCUGCAUGGCUUUAUGAUUAAAGGAGACGCCUGCGGAGGGCCUUGCGUCCUAUUAGCUAGUUGGUGAGGUAAGGGCUCACCAAGGCGAAGAUAGGUAGCCGGCCUGAGAGGGUGGACGGCCACAAGGGGACUGAGAUACGGCCCUGACUCCUACGG